UUUUUUUUCUGAUAUAGGAUCUCGCUAUAUUUUUUUUAUAAAUGAACUUUAUCAUAUACUUAAAAGAAAAAUGAAAUACAAAAAUCGGGUCACCGUUUAUUUAAGCUCACAAUCUGACUCCGGAAGAAGCAUACAUUUUUGUUAAUGUCCUAUUUUUCUGUUGAGCUAAUAGGAGAAAUAGAGGUAAUAUCGAAAUAAAAAAAUAACGUAAUUACAGAAAUCGCUUAAAUUUUACAAUUAUUUAGUUUAUGUACAGCUUAUUUGAAAACAAUUAUAAAAAAUAUAGGUCACCGAUGAGUUAAAAAAGAUAUUUUAAAUUUAAUGCCAAAAAAUGGCAUUUUUGCAUCAAAGGGAGAUAAUUUGGAGCUUUUUCAAUGAUAUAAACAUUUUAAAAUUCAUCUUGG
rnacentral:lncRNA from 1 species